CCAGACUCCUACGGGAGGCAGCAGUGGGGGAUAUUGCACAAUGGGGGGAACCCUGAUGCAGCGACGCCGCGUGGGUGAAGAAGCGCUUCGGCGCGUAAAGCCCUGUCAGCAGGGAAGAAAAUGACGGUACCUGACUAAGAAGCCCCGGCUAACUACGUGCCAGCAGCCGCGGUAAUACGUAGGGGGCAAGCGUUAUCCGGAUUUACUGGGUGUAAAGGGAGCGUAGACGGCGAUGCAAGCCAGAUGUGAAAGCCCGGGGCUCAACCCCGGGACUGCAUUUGGAACUGUGUGGCUGGAGUGUAGGAGAGGCAAGUGGAAUUCCUAGUGUAGCGGUGAAAUGCGUAGAUAUUAGGAGGAACACCAGUGGCGAAGGCGGCUUGCUGGACUAUAAAUGACGCUGAGGCUCGAAAGCGUGGGGAGCAAACAGGAUUAGAUACCCCGGUAC
rnacentral:rRNA from 1 species